UAGCUAUGAUGCUUUGAAUUUCUUCACCUGAGUUCUCAAGUGAGACAUUUUAAAAUGAAGAACCUUGACACUGAGCUAA